UACGUAGGGCGCAAGCGUUGUCCGGAAUUACUGGGCGUAAAGCGCACGUAGGCGGCUUCUUAAGUCGGUGGUGAAAUCCUGGAGCUCAACUCCAGAACUGCCUUCGAUACUGGGAAGCUCGAGUCCGGGAGAGGUGAGUGGAACUGCGAGUGUAGAGGUGAAAUUCGUAGAUAUUCGCAAGAACACCAGUGGCGAAGGCGGCUCACUGGCCCGGUACUGACGCUGAGGUGCGAAAGCGUGGGGAGCAAACAGG
rnacentral:rRNA from 1 species